CCUACGGGAGGCAGCAGUGAGGACUAUUGGUCAAUGGACGAGAGUCUGACCCAGCCAAGUAGCGUGAAGGAUGACUGCCCUAUGGGUUGUAAACUUCUUUUAUAAAGGAAUAAAACGAGGCACGUGUGCCUUUUUGCAUGUACUUUAUGAAUAAGGAUCGGCUAACUCCGUGCCAGCAGCCGCGGUAAUACGGAGGAUCCGAGCGUUAUCCGGAUUUAUUGGGUUUAAAGGGAGCGUAGAUGGGUUGUUAAGUCAGUUGUGAAAGUUUGCGGCUCAACCGUAAAAUUGCAAUUGAUACUGGCAGUCUUGAGUACAGGUGAGGUAGGCGGAAUUCGUGGUGUAGCGGUGAAAUGCUUAGAUAUCACGAAGAACCCCGAUUGCGAAGGCAGCUUACUAAACUGUGACUGACAUUGAUGCUCGAAAGUGUGGGUAUCAAACAGGAUUAGAUACCCGAGUAGUC
rnacentral:rRNA from 1 species